CUCUCUCUUUUAUUUAUUUAGUUUUUUUUCUCUCUUUCUUUCUUUUUUUCUUUGUUUCUUUUUUUUUCAUAAGAAACAGAGGACCUGCGCAUCCUCUUCCCCUUAUUUUUUUUCAUGGAACAGGGGGGACUCUCUUCCCUUGCUCCCAAAGUUGGGAGGUCCUCCUCCUAAUCGAGGACUCCCAUGGUCAGAGGGGUAGUCCCCGACGGUGAUAGCC
rnacentral:lncRNA from 1 species